rnacentral:rRNA from 1 species
UGGGGAAUCUUCCGCAAUGGGGCGAAAGCCUGACGGAGCAACGCCGCGUGAGUGAAGAAGGUCUUCGGAUCGUAAAGCUCUGUUGUCGGGGACGAAUGUUGAGACCUAGAACAUAGGUUUCAAAUGACGGUACCUGACGAGGAAGCCACGGCUAACUACGUGCCAGCAGCCGCGGUAAUACGUAGGUGGCGAGCGUUGUCCGGAAUUAUUGGGCGUAAAGGGAGCGCAGGCGGGAAAGUAAGUCUAUCUUAAAAGUGCGGGGCUCAACCCCGUGAGGGGAUAGAAACUAUUUUUUCUGAGUGCAGGAGAGG